CUGCAAACAUCAACAACUCCCUAUUGCCGUACCGUGUCGCACGUGACUCCACGAAGAACGGAGUGCCAGGACAUCGAGUGCACUCGUCUCGUUUUGUGUUCUCUAGCUCUUUUUUUUUACUGUUUCUUCUUUGGGCGCUCUCCGAGUCGCUUGUCUCUCGCUCCUCUCUGUCCGUUGCACCCGCCACCGGCCAGGGAUCACCGGGUGCAAGCACCAAGGAAGCCGCCGACACCCGCGCGCUGGCAGACACUCGAUAUUGUCUCCUCCUCGACUCACCAGGGUAGGAACUCUACGCAUAGCAUUAGCAUGUAGAAACGCAAGCCCAACCACGGACCGCUGCUCUUCUCUUUUUAGUCGUCCCGUUUAGCCGUUACUGUCGCAUGUGUGCCGGUCAUUCCCUCGCGCCGUUCAUCACCUUACACGCUUCUGCGCGUACCUGUCUCUAAGGUCGGGCACGACUCGAAGAGCACAAAAAACAACAACCACGACAAUGGCAGGCUUAGACGUUGCCUGGAUCCCGUUUACGGUGAUGUACUUGCUGUACCUCAUCCCACCGACCCUGAUGGAGGUAUACUCGUACUACAGUCGUGGCGGUCUCGUCCGCUACGAGGAUCUCAAGUACGAUGAUAGCUUCUGUCCACAGUACCAAUGGAACCGCGACACGGAGGUGUACUACAAGCGCUUCCUCGACCGCCCGACUAGCGAGGCGGGCAAGGCGUUUUUUUCGUGGCUGGACUGGAGUUCGGAGUCCUACGACCGUACCAUUUACAUCCUGCGUCGAAACUUAGCAAAGCAGGACGGCGAGGUGAGUCCGUGGUGGCGGUACGUUUACGGCCCCUUCAUCUUCAACUGGCCCAAGAAGACCUGGCUGCGCGGCGACGAUGCCGCGUGCCGGAAGGCGCCGGCGUGGGGUGUGGGCGGCGAGGCGCGUGCCCGCAAAGAAUACGAGGAGGCUAAGGCAAAGGGCUUCAACAAGAACUACCAUUACCAGAUUAUGCGCAAGAUACGCCGUGAGCAGGCGCUGAAGGCGGCACAGGUGAAGGCGGCGAUUGAGUGAAGAGGACGGGGGACAAGCCGAACAUGUGAUUGCUCGACCGUCUUCAUGAUCGGAUUCUGUGUUUCUCUUUCUUGUCGCAUGUAUGUGCUGUUGCCCUCCCCGAUGCGAACGCUGGGUUUGUCCUCUCUUCGUGGUUUGUUUUCAAGAGUGAGGGUAUGUGUGUAGUGGAGCUGUUGUGCUCGUGCUUGAGCGUCGGCUCCUUCAUAGCAUCUGUUGUCGUUUUGUGAUCGGCGCCUCUGGGACGCUGUAGCAUCCUGUUCCAGGCCUUCUCCGUGUGCUUUAUUUGCAUUCCUCUCUCUGUUCGUGGACGCUUGCUAGUUUUGUUCAUGCGUGUGCGCGCGCGCAACUGUGGUGGACAAUGCGCGCCCGACGACAUCCCCACCCCCUCCAUGUUAUUCUGCCUGCCAAGAGACGAAAU
rnacentral:misc_RNA from 1 species